GACGAACACUGGCGGCGUGCUUAACACAUGCAAGUCGAACGGAGUGGCGAAAGGGUGAGUAACACGUGGGUGAUCUGCCUUGCACUUCGGGAUAAGCUUGGGAAACUGGGUCUAAUACCGGAUAGUGCAAGAUGAGCUCGCGGCCUAUCAGCUUGUUGGUGGGGUAAUGGCCUACCAAGGCGUCGACGGGUAGCCGGCCUGAGAGGGUGUACGGCCACAUGGGGACUGAGAGACGGACCAGACGCCUACGGGGGGCAGCAGUGGGAAAUAUUGCACAGUGGGCGGAAGCGUGAUGCAUAGGCGCCGGGUGGGGAAUGGAGGCCUUCGGGUUGUAAACUCCUUUCGACAGGGACGCGGUACCUGUAUAAGAAGCACCGGCUAACUACGUGCCAGCAGCCGCGGUAAUAC
rnacentral:rRNA from 1 species